ACAACACCAGUUCCAAGCUGCAUCUGCGACCUACACCAAAACUCAUGACUAUGCUGGAGCCCUAACCCACCAAGUGAGGCCAGGGAUUGAACCCGCAUCCUCAUGGAGAGUAGUCAGGUUCUCAACCUGCUGAGCCACAGCGGGAAUGCCACACUACAAAUUUUAUAUUUGAGGAAAUAUUUCUCUUCUAAGGCCCUCCUGAUAGGGAUGGAUUAGGCACACGUGGUUGUAGUCCCAAUAAAGGACCAUAGAUAAAGAGGGAAACUUGGGAGAUCACUGUAAAUUAAUAACUGUUCAAGAAAGCUGUCAGCACAAGGCAAGCUUACUUAACUAAUGGAGGCAAGAGAAUUGCCUCUGGUCCUUGUGUGGGGGAUGCAAUGAGGCCUGCAUUCAGAUUCAGACCAAGGGCAAGAGUUUAAGGACCACCCUUCUGCGGAUUUGAAUACACACCUUCAUACUAAGGAGGAGCUUCUACUUCCUGAAAGGAGGAGGUGGGCUUUUCCAACCCCCACUCCCCUUGGAGGAUAAAACUGUAGCCCCUGGAUCCUCGGGGCAGAGCUUCCUUGCCUGCCUGCUUGCAUCUUACAAGUAUCCUAUCUUAAUAAAUCCAUUUCUUGCGUAUCACUUUGUCUCUCGCUGCAUUCCUUCUGCACAGAGUCAUAAAGAACCUGAACCUCAGUGAGUCCAGACACAGGGUGAGUGAUUCUAAUUUAAAACCAUGGGUUUAAGUCCCAGUUUGUGUUUAGGCUGGGUUAGAGUCCUGACACAUGGGUUCAAGUCCCAAUCUGGGUUCUGGAUAGGUUCAGGCCGUCAGUUCCACUCCCCCUCUCUUUCUAAUGCUCUGCAGUGUUUCUCCUGAAAAGUGGCCCAAGGAACAAAGGGUUAAGUGGGUCCUCAAAGGGUCUGCUCUCCCUGCUGUCUGCAUGGGUGGGGCUCUGAGAAGACUGUCACCAUCUUUCCUGUUCGUACCACCACCUUGCCUCCCCCAGUGCUCCCUCAUCUGACACCCCUGGGCCCAAGCAUCAGCACCCAGGUCCCCACUGUUGAACCCAGCAGUCCCUUUUCAGCUCUCAUCUUGCUAGACUCAUCAGCAGCAUUUGGCACGUGGUUCAGCCCUGAGUCAGGUAAAAUAGUAGAAAACUUAUCCAAAGAGGUUGGAUUCAAACUGGGUUUCUGGCAGAUGAAACAAACCAAAGUCACCUUUUUAUUUAUUUUUAAAAAGGAUUUUUAGUUUUUCCAUUAUAGCUGGUUGAGAGCGUUCAGUCAGUUUUCUGCUAUACAGCCAAGUGACCCAGUCACACCUCUAUAUACAUUAUUUUCUCACAUUAUCCUCCAUCAUGCUCCAUUGCAAGUGCAAAUCACCUCUUUAGAUGGUUUAACCCAUCUUUCUAACAUUUAUGAAGAAGACACUUAAGGUGUGUAUUUGUCCUUGACAAGUCAAGUUCUGAAUUACCUACCCCCUUCAUUUUUUUUUUCUUUUGAUAAGAAUUACCUUCCUGGGAGUUCCCCUUGUGGCUCAGUGGAUGCAAGCAUGACUAGCAUUCAUGAGGAUGUGGGUUCGAUCCCUGGCCUUGCUCAGUGGGUUAAGGCAGUUGCAGCUUUGAUUUGACCCCUAGGAUGGGAACUUCCAUAUGCCAUGUAUGUGGCCCUAAAAAAAUAAUAAUAAUAAUAAAUAAAAGACAAUAAUUACCUUCCUGAAAUGCAAGUUCCUCCUAGGAGAAACUUUUGUCAUCUCAGAACCAGAAUUUUUUUUCUCAAUACGUGUAAGCAUCUUAAGAUACACGGGGGAGGUUUGAGGGUGGGUAAAAGGAUUGGUGGGCUUUGCAUUGCUUCUGGAGGACAUCUGGUCUUGUAAAGACUAGAUGUGUAAAAAAGAAUAGCUUCCACCUCCUAGAGCAAUGAAAAUAAACACAAAAAUAAACCAAUGGGACCUGAUUCAACAUAAAAGUUUUGCACAGCAACCAAGACCAUAAACAAAAUGAAAAGACAACCUACAGGAUGGGAGAAAAUAUUUGCAAACAUAUGACUGACGGGGUCUUCUCUGCUCCUGAGCACAUAGAGUCGUGUUCACUGUCUCUAAGAUGUGGGCAGAUAAGUUUUCAGGUUCUCCAACAUCCUCUCGCAGGGCUAGUGAAAGCUGUGUUUCUCCCUCCUGAGAAAUAUGCCCCUGCAUUAGGUCAACACUUACAGAGACUUUUACUUCGAGAGCAGGUCCCAUCCUAGCAGAGGGAUGGGAUGCUUCAGGACAUCCAGGAAGGAGGGCAGCAGUGUGCUGGGUCCUAGUCCACAUGCCAUUGGUUCUAGAAAGAACUUCCUAUUAGAUCAGCCUGCUGCCUCUUGAACAGUACACUCCAUUUGGGCAGCGUUGGGCUUCAGGGCCCCUUAAGGGAAAUAGAACUCAAAGCCUCCGACCAAGAUGAGAAUGACCAGACCCUUAUCAUCGCCCCAUCAAUCUCCUUGUAAUGCCCCCUCUCCCACCUUGAGCAACCUGGCCCACACCUUCCUGCUCCUACUAAGAAAGGUAUGUGGCCCACUCCUCCCCCUCCCCCUAUAGGGGCCUUAUAUGCCCCCAAACAACCAGCGAGUGUAUCCUAAGACCCCUCUUUCCCCAACCAAUCAGCAGGUCAGCAGGUGUAUCGUGAGACUUCUCUUCUCCCUAGGUUACAAAAACAGACAUGACCACGUGCUGCUUGUUGGCUCUCCAGUGAUUGUCAGGAAGUCAUCCUGCUAUGCCAGUAGCAUAAACUCUUCUUUCUUUUCACCCCAAUAGGAGUCCAGAAAUUCUUCUUCUGACCCACGUGCCUAGACCACGACAGGCAGUCUUCCUUUUAAGAGUGGUCAAGGCCAAGUGGCUCCAAUAACUAUUAAAGACUCUACUUUCUCGAGAGUUCCCCUUGUGACUCAGCAGGUUGAGAACCCGACUAGGAACCAUGAGCCACGACAGGAACUCCCAACAUCGUCUAAUUCUUUCUAAGAGGACAAAUCGGUUUUCAUUUGACUCCUGCUGAAUGUUUCUGACUUUCCCCCCAGUUUUGAGGUUUCUAGCCAACAGCUUUCAUUCCCUUAAGUAGGAGGCUUUGAUAAUGCUCAGGCUGGGCUCUAUCCACGUUUUCAUGGGGAUCCCAUGCAGAGUCAGUGGCAGACAUGGCUCCUGAUCCUGGCCCCUAUAUCUGGUGCUCGUGCAGUCCCUUAUUUUGGUAAAAUGCCAUAAGGCACUGUACAUAUGGGAUCUUGCCCCAAUUUUUAAAAAAACUUUUACAGUAAAGAUCCAAUUGCAAGAUGGUGUUAUAAUUUAGAGAGCCAUUUUCUGGCCACUUUUCUUGAUCUUCUAAAUGAAUAUCAGGGCCAGGCAACAGGACCUAGAGACAUCAUCUGCUUUUUUUUGUUUUUGUUGUUGUUGUUUUUUAAUCUUUUUGCCUUUUCUAGGGCCGCUUCCCGCGGCAUAUGGAGGUUCCCAGCUUAGGGGUCCAAUCAGAGCUGUAGCCGCCAGUCUACACCAGAGCCACAGCAAUGUGGGAUCCGAGCCGUGUCUGCAACCUACGCCACAGCUCACGGCAACACCGGAUCCUUAACCCACUGAGCAAGGCCAGGGAUUGAACCCACAACCUCAUGGUUCCCAGUAGGAUUUGUUAACCACUGCGCCACAACGGGAACUCCACAUCAUCUAUUUUUGUCAUGGGUUGAUACCCAAAAGAUUUCCAAUUUAAAAUACAUCCCAACAGACCACAGUCAGGAACAGCAAUGCCAUUCUCAGGAGCCGACUAAUGUGAGUUUAAGAUUCCAAAGUUUGCUCAUCCUAAGCCUAAAACUAGUUUUGACUACAGUUGCUGAGGAACUCAGUUUCACCUAGUUUUUUUAACAGAUAAGCCAAUCAGACAUAGAGGACAGGACAAAACAUAAACCCUAGGACCCAGAGUGAAACCAGCCUAGAGACCAAGGGUCCAGGACUCGAACCCAAGCCUGGCAGUCAGUUUCUGCCACUGGGAAGAGUGACUUCAGGAAACCCUAUCCACACCUGUGUUCCCUGCACCCAGAAGUCUCUCGUUUUCUAUUAUAAAGGAACUCAACCUUCCCCAGUCACAGAAAAGGUGGCUGCCAAACCCAGAAAUCGCUAGUUUUCCACCAGAAGGAAUGCAACCUCCCAGUGGUAGAACUCAGAACCCCUGGGCUCGAACCCAGGGUGAAACGAGGAUCCCAACCCCAGUUGUGUGCGUCUUAAAUUCUGCUUUAAUCAAACGGGAGACUACUGCGAUAUCCAUACUUAUUAUAGCAGCAGUUCUGGAUGCUACUCACCUGCCCCCCAACACCCCGGAAGUCUGAGGGUACUGAACAAAUCCGUUCAGGUCGCCACUUUGCCCACAGAGAGCCAGCUGGUGAGCAGUCUCUGAACCAGUAGACACCCAGCAGAUUCAUGUCUGACCAAGAGAACUCAACCAACAUGAGAAGACAAGUCCACUUCACUCCAGUGUGGCCAGCUCCCUUUGUCCCUCCUCAGGGCACAUGCCCCAUCAGGGUCACCAGAAAUUGUUGCUGGAUUCAACGGAUCCAUCUUUUGGAGUGCUCAGCCGAUGAACACACCAAGUGUAUCCCAUGAAAGCAGAAGCAUUUAUUACUGGUCACAAGUAAGGAGACAGGGAGAUAGCUUUCAAAGCAUUAUCUGGUUAACAGCAGGUGCUCAAUAAACGAUGCAUGAAUCAGUGUAUGAGCUGCCUUAGGACAGCAGCGAUGUGCCUAUGAGGCGGUCAUGGGUAGCACCUGUCGAGCUUCUGGCCUCAGUGUGGUCCAGAAGACGCUUCUUUGUGCCUGUGACUAUUUUCUCUGCAAAACGCAGGGAUUAGAAACAAAAGUCCCCAAUAAAGCUCAAAUUAUAGGAUUCUUGAGAAGGUGUCUGAAUGCAGGGCCCUCCAAACGAGCCAUCAGACAAUUGAGAAACAGGGGAAAUCACGUCUCCUGAAGCUUGUCGGAAGAGCCAGGUGGCAGGCCAAGUAGGGGUGGACAGAUAACAGACAGCAAAUGUCAGGUGGCGAUGGUGCCACAGCAGUUAGAGCCUCGAGCCUGAAGCUUGCAGCUCAGGCUUUUCUCUCGCUAGCUGCGCUGCACCGCGCACCUGGCUUAACCUUCUGAACUUACGUUUUAUAUUGGGGAUUGCGAGGGUGGGAUCAGGACUGCACCUCCGUGGCCCAGGGGUUGAGGGGACUGAAGGAAACCAUGCAGGUGGCCCAGAGUCGCCCUUGGCAAU
rnacentral:lncRNA from 9 species